AUCCAGGUGGACCCAGGAUCACAAGAUGCUUCCUUGUGGGAGAGGAAGGUAGGGAGAGAGCCAGGGAGACUGGACAAAGGACUCAGCCGGAGCCGCUUGCUUUGAAGAUGGAGGAAGGAGCCCCGAGUUAAAGAUUCCUGUGGCCUCUAGAAACUGGAAAAGGCAAGGUCGAGUCUCCCAGAAAACCUCCAGAAGGAACGCUGCCUUGAGGACGACCUUGACUUCAGCCCAGUGAGACACACUCCAGACUUCCGACCUCCAGACGCGCCUUGGGAGAGCUGUUGGGAAGUUGAAACGAGACAGGAAACGGAAAUGGCCGGUCCUUAAACACUUGCAGUACCCUGGCCCCAUCCUGGAUUCCAAACACAGAGUUCCAAAAUCACUGCAGACAGUGAGUGCAGCCAGGAAAUUAAUAAGACACUUCCUCCUUGGAAGAAAAGCUAUGACAAAUCUAGACAGCAUAUUCAAAAGCAGAAACAUCAUUUUGCUAACAAAGGUCCAUAUAGUCGAUACUAUGGUUUUUCCAGUAGUCAUGCACAGAUGUGAGAGUUAGACCUUAAAGAAAGCUGAGUGUCAAAAAAUUAAUGCUUUCCAAUUGUGGUGCUGGAGAAGACUCUUGAGAGUCCCCUGGACUGCAAGGAGAUCAAACCACUCAAUCCUAGAGGGAAUCAACUCUGAACAUUCACUGGAAGGACUGAUGCUGAAGCUCCAAUAUUUGGGCCACCUGAUGCAAAGAGCCGACUCACUGGAAAAGACCCUGAUGCUGGGAAAGAUUGAAGGCAAAAGGAGAAGGGGGAGGCAGAGGAUGAGAUGGUUAGAUGGCAUCACCAACUCGAUGGACAUGAGUUUAAGCAAACUCUGGAAGAUUCUAAAGGACAGAGGAGCUUGGUGUGCUGCAGGCUGUGGGGUGCAGAGUGUUGGACACAGCGACUGAGCAACAACAAAGAUGGCUGUUACAAAGCGGCAUCUUAAAACGGCACGUAUUUAUUCCCAAUAGACCUAGAAGCCGGAAGUCCAAAAUCUAUCUCAAUGGACUGAAAUCUAGGUGUCCCACAGGGCUGCUUCCUUC
ensembl:lncRNA